rnacentral:rRNA from 1 species
GAUGAACGCUAGCUACAGGCUUAACACAUGCAAGUCGAGGGGCAGCAUGGUCUUAGCUUGCUAAGGCCGAUGGCGACCGGCGCACGGGUGAGUAACACGUAUCCAACCUGCCGUCUACUCUUGGACAGCCUUCUGAAAGGAAGAUUAAUACAAGAUGGCAUCAUGAGUUCACAUGUUCACAUGAUUAAAGGUAUUCCGGUAGACGAUGGGGAUGCGUUCCAUUAGAUAGUAGGCGGGGUAACGGCCCACCUAGUCUUCGAUGGAUAGGGGUUCUGAGAGGAAGGUCCCCCACAUUGGAACUGAGACACGGUCCAAACUCCUACGGGAGGCAGCAGUGAGGAAUAUUGGUCAAUGGGCGAGAGCCUGAACCAGCCAAGUAGCGUGAAGGAUGACUGCCCUAUGGGUUGUAAACUUCUUUUAUAAAGGAAUAAAGUCGGGUAUGUAUACCCGUUUGCAUGUACUUUAUGAAUAAGGAUCGGCUAUCUCCGUG